AACUCAAAAUUCAAAAAUUGUGGCAUAAUUCAUCGUACAAACCUAUCGAUAUUCUUCUGCCCUGACGUUUUCUAGCACUGAAAAGCGUUUCAUAGCGCUUGCCCACACUGGCUCGCAAAUCAUCCAUUCUUGUAUUAUUAUGGCCAAUUGCUUUAUUCGCUGACCAAAUAAUUCGUUCAAGCCGCAGCCAUAGCUAUUUCGCGAGGACUUGCAGAUAGUGCUAUAUCUAAAUACCGAUUCCGUGCAGUGGGAUCGCCGCACAGGAAGCGAAAGCGCCGAAAACGAGGCAUUUUCCCCUCCGAUUUGUCCCCUUUUCGGGCGAGAGACGCCGACCAUCGAAACAUUUUCCUGCGGUAGCAUAAGGUUACACAGUCCGCCACAGCAAUGAAAUGGACAAUGCCAUCGGCCAUUAGUGGCGCGGCCCACGGCCAGGUGCACAUACCCAGCAAUGAGGAGUGCGGCAUACGGGACGUGUGGAAGCAUAACCUGGAGGAGGAGUUCCGCACCAUACGGAAAGUGGUACAAAAAUACCAUUAUGUGGCCAUGGACACUGAAUUCCCGGGAGUAGUGGCGCGUCCAGUCGGAGAGUUUCGCUCCACGGCGGACUAUCACUAUCAACUGCUGCGCUGCAAUGUGGAUCUAUUGCGAAUCAUUCAGCUUGGCCUGACCUUCAUGGACGACGAGGGCAAAACGCCACCGGGCUACUCAACAUGGCAGUUCAACUUUAAGUUCAAUCUAAGCGAGGACAUGUAUGCCCAGGACUCCAUCGAUCUGUUGCAGAAUUCGGGCAUUCAGUUUAAAAAACACGAAGAAGACGGCAUCGAUCCAAUUGAGUUCGCCGAACUGCUGAUGAGCUCCGGCAUCGUACUGGUGGACAAUAUCAAGUGGCUGUGCUUCCAUUCCGGCUACGAUUUUGGCUACCUUUUGAAGCUCCUCACCGACCAGAACCUGCCCGCCGACGAAGGAGACUUUUUCGAACUGCUGCAUAUCUAUUUCCCCAACAUAUUCGACAUUAAGUAUCUGAUGAAGUCGUGCAAGAAUCUGAAGGGCGGCCUGCAGGAGGUGGCCGACCAGCUGGAGCUGCGUCGUGUUGGCCCCCAGCAUCAGGCCGGUUCCGAUGCCCUACUAACGGGCAUGGCUUUCUUCAAAAUGCGUGAGCUCUUUGUUGAAACAAAUUUCCAUACUCUGCACUGUGUAUAUAAGCGUAGCAAGUGCUUAAACUUCUAGUGAACUGACGAAAAGUUCUGACUAAAACAAGAAUAUCCCCGAAUUACAUAUGUACAAUAUCUCCAUUUCGAAUCCUAACCCAACAAAAUUAAGAAAUCUGUAAUAAAGUAGAAUCUUCUUCACCUAACCAUCACAUCGGUAACGAUGUUCUUCGAGGACAAUAUCGACCAUGCCAAAUACUCCGGACAUCUGUACGGCCUCGGCACCUCGUUCAUUGUGAACGGUACCAACUUCCAU
rnacentral:misc_RNA from 1 species